CCCUACGGGGUGCACCAGGCAAGAGCCGCUCAAAGCCGAGCUGGAAUUGAUCGAUGCCAAGAUGAAGCUUGCCCUCCUCGAUGCAGAGAGCCGGGACGCCACGCAACAGGAGCUCGAUCUCAUCCGAAAGAUUGCGGCACAGGAAAAGGUCAUUGCCUCGGAGCAGGCGUUGACCGGAUUCGGUGCCGGGUAUUCCCUGGCCUUCGAGGAAUACCGAAAGAACAUGACCACCAACGCGGACCUGGGUGAAUCCUUCUUUGAUCUCACGGUGGAGGGCUUCCACGGGGUGGGAGACGCCAUCAAGCAGGCGGUCAUGGGCACGGAGGACCUGGGGGACGCAUUUGAAAACCUCUUCGCCCGCAUCGCGGAACGGGCCGCCGAUCUUCUCAUGGACCAGGCGAUUCAGGCACUCAUUGGAGGCAUGUCCGGAGGGUCGACCGGUGUCCUUGGCGGUAUCCUGGGAGGGAUCGGGAUUGGCGGGGGAGC
rnacentral:rRNA from 1 species